GUUUUGUUUAUGGCUUCCUUUGCUGUGCAAAAGCUUAUAAGUUUAACUAGGUCCCAUUCAUUUAUUUUUGCUUUUAUUUCUAUUGCCUUGGGAGCCUGAUCUAAGAAAACACUGUAAGAUUUAUGUCAGAGAAUUGAUAUGAAACGUGUCCUUUUUCCUGAGAUAAGUCAUUCUCUUCUUUGCUCCCUGUAGGAAAAAUACCAUGACCUUUCCUUCCUUAGGCAGGUUAGUUAGGGUGGUGACAAGUUGUGGAAACCUCAGAGAACCAUUUUUGGCCAUCUUUCACCAUGCCUUGUUCUCUAGGCAGAAAAGGAGGACCCUGCUGGUGAAGGUUGAAAAUAGAGGUAAAGAGGUUUGUAAAGCACUUAGGAGUGAAGUCCCUUAUCAAUAUGUGGGUAGUGGUUUACAUAGAGCAGUGAUUCUCAACAAGAGAUGAUGGGUAUUUACAAAUUCUCUGGUGGUUUAUCCAACUACCCAAGCCCUUUUCACUGUCAUAUCCAGGCACACAUCAUGUAUCAUAUGUUCAAGGAGUAAAUAUAUGGUACAUGAUACAUGUAUGUGGUUUGGAAAAGCCCCACAAGUAAUUCUCCCCCCUCUCCCUCUCCUGCUCCACCUACUGAUACAAAGGGGGAUGCCUGUAAACCCUGCUCAAAGAGAGAGUGGAGGUGAAAAAUAUAAAAAUUGGAAGUAAAGGGGCUCAGAAAACAAACAAACAAAAAGAACAGCAGAUGCCACUUUUCCUGCAGUAAAGUGUCCCCUGACAUUCCCAAAUGCAGCUUCCCCUGGCAUCAUCAUCAUCUGAGGGGAGACAGAGAGCUCUUUGCUGGAGGCACAUAUUAUCCCCAAAGCCUGGAGCUGGAAGGCUCUGUUCCUUGUGAGUGCCACACUUUGCUGGCACCCGACUGGGGCCCAGUGACGUCAUGUGUACUUUCAGCUUGCUUUGGUCAGAAAUCCCAAGCACGUCAGUUCUCUGAUUUAAAAGAAAAUAGCAAUUAUUUUCAGUAAAUUGUUAAUUUAAAAAAUAUUUUCAACCUUUAAGCAUCUUAUGUUUCAGCUGUGUUAUAAGCAGCAAAUAGUUGGAUUAAAAAAACCAUUCUGUCUUUUAACGGAUUGUGUGCAUAUGUGUGGGUGUGUAGGAUAUAAUUAUGCAUUAUUUACGUAUAUAUGUAUUGGAUGUAUGUGGCAUGUAUCUUAUUUUUUGCUACUUGUCCCACAUGUUUUUGUUUUCUUUUCUCUCAUUUCUGGCUACCUUUUAAAAAAUUGACCUCUUCCUGUUAGUUUGAAAGUAACAUACUUUGUUCCUCUUCCUAUUAAUUCAGCAUACAUACUUACCACAGUCUAAAACUGGUCAAUAAAUUUAACCUCCUCUUAACAAUUAGUGCCUUAGAACACUUUAAAUUCCAUUUACCUUACUCCUGACUUAUGCUCUCCUGGUAGAUUUUAAAUAUGGUUUAAUUUAAAUCCAUAAGACAUCAUUGUUUCACAGUCAAUUUUGUUUAGUUUCCCCAUGUGUAUUUACCACUUUUAUGGCUCUUAACUCUUUCAUCAUUUAGAAUUUUCUUUAGUGAAGGUAUGCUGGUGGUAACUUUUCCAUAUUCGGUGAUCUGAAAAUGUCUUUAUUUUCCUUCUUGAAAAAUAUUUUUCACGGGAAUAGACUUCUAUGUUGGCAGUUAUUUUAGGAUGUUGUGUUGUCUCCUGGCUUCCACUGCUGAGAAUUCAGCUGUCAGUCUUUCCUUAGAAUGCAAUCUUUUUUCCUCUGACUGUUUUUAAGACAGUUAGUGUGCUAUUGUUGAUUUGCGGUUUCACUAUAACAUGCCUGGGUGUGGAUUUUUAAAGUUUAUCUUGCUUGGGAUUCAUUGAGCUUCUUUAAUCUUUCUCUUGUUACAUUGUUUCGGUUCAGGUAAAUCCUGAGUCCCUAUCCCUUGAAAUGUAGCCUGUAACCCAUUUUCUUUCCUCUUCUUCUAUAGCUCUGAUUAGACUUCAGGCCCUGUCCAUCUUCCAUGUUGCUUAAUUUCUUCCUGAUUUUGUCCAUGUGUUUUGUGCUGUAUUCCGAAUAAUUCCUUCUGACUUGUCUUCCCUUUGGUUCCUUCUAUGGCUUUCUAAUCUGAUUGUUAAUUUCACUUCCUGUACUUUCUAGUUAAAUAAAUUAUUAAUCUCUUUUUCAAAUCUGUUACGUCAUUUGAAAAAUUCAUAUUCCCUCCAGAUAUUUUCAAGCUAUUUUAUUUUUAAAAAACAUAUGAAGCCUAUUUUAUAAUGUGUCAUUAUUUUAGUACCUGAAACUUUAGGAUUCUCUUUCUGUCACUGUCAUUCACGGUGUCGUUUCCUUGUGUGAUUACUUGAUGAGCUGCUCAUUUUCCGUAGAACAUUAUUUGAGGGAGUCUUUGAGGUUUAGCAUGAAACUAACCUUUCAGAGAGGAUCUGCACUCUUAGGCAUUUAGGGAACUCUAGCUGUCCUAUUUCACCUACAUUUCAAACGGACAGAUGUGGUAGUGUCAGAAAAUGGGACCCAGGAUAGAGAGCCUAAGCACUGAAGGUACUUUUUCCUGGGGUAUCUACCAAACCUAGGGAUGAUGAGCUUCAAUUUUUAGGGCCUGACAGGUCAUGGAACAGAAAUCAAAGACCCUCCACAAAGCAGGCCCUGCAAAGGGCUACAUCAGAGUGAGAAUGAACCACUGUAAACCCACCCCUACCCCUCUAGGGCACUGCAAGAAAAGUUGCUUUAACUCUGGCAGACCAAGUAAAGAAAAAUCUUUAAGAAGUUGUAACUGUGGGCUUGCCUUGAACCUACCUGCACAUUUUCACAUGAUUGUUGACCUAGUAAUUUCUUACCAUCCUGUUAGUUCAACACUUAAAAAGUUAUUUAUUAGUUUUUGUUGUGUGAAGGUGGUUGGAAAUCAUCUAGUAAAGUAUAACCUAUAAAGCAAGCUUAUGUCCAAAGUUUGGUGUUGCUGGUUUGCACAGAAGAUUGAGUUCCUCCAUCUGUAAGGAGGCAUUUAAGAGAGCCACCAGUUUUGGAACCUGCAUCAGCCAAGACUCUAGAACCCUUUGAGAGCUGAAUUAAAAUGAAAUUUAUUUACUUUGCCUUGUUCCAAAACAAUUUAAGGAGAUUAAAAUCUUAAAAUUUCUAGUGAAUUUCACCAGAAUUUCAAAGAGAGGGAAGGGCAUUUGGUAGAGUGCACCCUGAAUUCUAAUCUCUGCUUUGUAAUUACAGGCGGAUCUCACUUUAUUGCAUUUCCCUUUAUUGCACUUAUUAGAUACCGUGUUUUUUACAAGUUGAAGGUUU
rnacentral:lncRNA from 1 species